AUGCAGUGCAAUCGUCUAGUUAUCAAUUCAGACAAUCUGGAUGUCAUCGUGAUAAUGAACAGUGGAGGAUGUCAUGCGAGCGCAGCGGCGGGGAUUUUCGAUAAUUGUUAUCAUCUCGCUUGUGAUUUUUCUAUUCCUAGGUUUGAACAUUGUAAUAGAGAAGCAAAUAAGGUAGCUCACGAACUAGCUAGGUUAGCAAGAUUUUCCGCGACUUAUAAUUGGUUUGAGGAACCGCUGAAUGAAAUUAUAACUUUCCUCACAAUCGAUGUAUCUAUUUUAUCUAAUUAA
rnacentral:rRNA from 1 species